ACGGCUCAGUAACACGUGGAUAACCUGCCCUUGGGUCCGGCAUAACUCCGGGAAACUGGAGAUAAUUCCGGAUAACGCAUAUAUGCUGGAAUGCUUUAUACGUAAAAUGGAUUCGUCUGCCCAAGGAUGGGUCUGCGGCCUAUCAGGUAGUAGUGGGUGUAAUGUACCUACUAGCCUACGACGGGUACGGGUUGUGAGAGCAAGAGCCCGGAGAUGGAUUCUGAGACAUGAAUCCAGGCCCUACGGGGCGCAGCAGGCGCGAAAACUUUACAAUGCGGGAAACCGUGAUAAGGGGACACCGAGUGCCAGCAUCAUAUGCUGGCUGUCCAGGUGUGUAAAAUACACCUGUUAGCAAGGGCCGGGCAAGACCGGUGCCAGCCGCCGCGGUAACACCGGCGGCCCGAGUGGUGAUCGUGAUUAUUGGGUCUAAAGGGUCCGUAGCCGGUUUGGUCAGUCCUCCGGGAAAUCUGAUAGCUCAACUAUUAGGCUUUCGGAGGAUACUGCCAGACUUGGAACCGGGAGAGGUAAGAGGUACUACAGGGGUAGGAGUGAAAUCUUGUAAUCCCUGUGGGACCACCUGUGGCGAAGGCGUCUUACCAGAACGGGUUCGACGGUGAGGGACGAAAGCUGGGGGCACGAACCGGAUUAGAUACCCGGGUAGUCCCAGCCGUAAACGAUGCUCGCUAGGUGUCAGGCAUGGCGCGACCGUGUCUGGUGCCGCAGGGAAGCCGUGAAGCGAGCCACCUGGGAAGUACGGCCGCAAGGCUGAAACUUAAAGGAAUUGGCGGGGGAGCAC
rnacentral:rRNA from 1 species